CUUGGUCAUUUAGAGGAAGUAAAAGUCGUAACAAGGUCUCCGUUGGUGAACCAGCGGAGGGAUCAUUACCGAGUUAUUCUACUCCCAAACCCCUGUGAACUUAUACCUUUACUGUUGCUUCGGCGGGUUAACGCCCCGGAAGGCCCGCGAGGGCCGCCGGAACCAGGCGCCCGCCGGGGGACCCAAACUCUUGUAUCUUUUUUAUAGCAUGUCUGAGUGGAAUCAUAAACAAAUGAAUCAAAACUUUCAACAACGGAUCUCUUGGUUCUGGCAUCGAUGAAGAACGCAGCGAAAUGCGAUACGUAAUGUGAAUUGCAGAAUUCAGUGAAUCAUCGAAUCUUUGAACGCACAUUGCGCCCAUUAGUAUUCUAGUGGGCAUGCCUGUUCGAGCGUCAUUUCAACCCUUAAGCCUAGCUUGGUGUUGGGAAUCUACACCAAAGGCUUCUAGCCCUACUGUAGUUCCUGAAAAUCAACGGCGGAUCUGUAAUAAUCCUCUGAGCGUAGUAAUUCUUUAUCUCGCUUUUGUUAGGUGUUAUAGCCCUUGCCGCUAAACCCCCCAAUUUUUAAUGGUUGACCUCGGAUCAGGUAGGAAUACCCGCUGAACUUAAGCAUAUCAAUAAGCGGAGGA
rnacentral:rRNA from 1 species